UAAAGGAUUUUAGACCCAACGGGAAUGUGAACCGUUUAUUGCAUUCAGUCAAACCUGAAGACAUACAUAAUAAACAUAAGACAUGCGUAGCACUACUAACCAUUACAUACUGUAUCAACAUAAUGCAUCACUAAUCAUGGAUUAUGCUAAUUAGAGCAAUCGACCCCUCGUAAUACAGAUGUGGAACUCACGUGUUUGGGGUCUUAAGGAGGCCUGUCACCAAGCAACACCUGCGUCUGUAUUGUAGUGGUUCAAUCUUUCCUGGAGUAGUCACACCUUAACUCGGUGGCAGUACAAAGGAAUCUGUCCCUCCAGGCUUCGUCCCUGCUGGCCCUCAGUGCCUCACGCCUGCCCAUCUUACCCUUAGAAACAUCAUCCAGAUGUCAAGGUGGAUAGCAACAUGGAGUCAGCUACAACAACAGCUGGUGGUGCUCUUGUUCCAAUAAUUGACUUUAGGAUAUCUAUUACUAAGAAAAAAUGGAGCAGUAGUUAUCCCCACCAAAAGGAAAUGGACAAGUUACUCCUUUGCUUCAUUGCAGGCUCUCUUCAACCUCUUUCAAGGGUUGAGGAUCCUAACUUUCAAGCUCUUCUUAACAAAGCCCAGCCCAGCUACAGCAUCCUAAGCCACAAGGAGCUCAGCAGCAAGCUUCUUUCUUUGCAAACUCAACAACUACAGGAACAUUUCAGUAAGAAAUUUUAUUCUGUUAGUUAUAUCUGUGUUACAGUUGACCUUUGGACAAACAGACAGAUGCAGUCGUACAUUAGGAUCAUGUCAUUUCAUUGAUAACUCCCAGCUCCAAUCAACAGUGUUGGCAUGCAGAAGAUUCAAAGGGUCCCACACUGCAAAAAAGAUUCAUGCCACAUUCACUGAAAUCAUCACUAGCUUUAACCUCAAAACAAAGAUUUUGGCAGUUGUAACCAACAGUGGCAGCAAUAUGCUUAAAGCAUUUGUGACACUUCCCAGUUCGGACAAUGUGAACACUAAUCAAGACAGUGAAAGCGAAGAGGAGGAUGACACCUUUGACAUUCCUGAUAAUAAUGAGAGGCUCUUGGAGCUGUUGCCUGGGCACGUCAGAUGUUUUGUUCAUACUUGACAAAUUACUGUGAAAGAUGGGCUCAAAGAAGCAGGGCCUGUAUCAGGAGUUGUUGGAAAAGCCUCACGUCUAGUAUCACACAUUUGCCAUUCUGCACUAGCAUCUGACAUUCUUGAAAGUGAAUGCAGACCUCAGGCCAAAAAUGCAAUCCAAUGGAACAUCAGUAACAGGAUGCUUCACUCCCUUCUGAAUAUUGAUCCACCCAAGCUUGAUCAGUUAAACUGUCCAGUAAAGCUAACCAAAUAUGAACUUAAUCUCAUCAAAGAAAUAACAGACAUCUUGACACCAUAUGAAGUAGCAACUCUAGAGUGUCAGGGAGAGAAUGUUGUAACAUCAAGUAGAGUAAUUAAAAUAAUUCCAUGCAUUCGUGGACUGAAAGCUGAGCUUGAAUAUCUGUCACAGACAUACAAGUCAAAGAUGAUUACUACUCUCAAAAGCUCAAUUGAGAAAAGAUUGAAAAUCUAUGAAGACAUGGAGAUGUUUCAGCUGGCCUCACUCCUAGAUCCAUGCUUUAAGAUGGACUGGUGCUCACCAGAAGUCAUGUUCAUGAAAUCCCUACUGAAAUCUAAAGUAGAUGAAAUUAUGCCUACUACCACUGAAAAAAAGGGUUCCCUUCAGGAAAAUAAGGAGACCCCUACAAAGAAGUGCAAACUCUUCAGAUUCAUGACACCAUCAGCAUCAAUGACCUCUUCCUCUUCCCUCUGUACAUUAACAGCAUCAAUGACCAUUACAAUAACAUCAACUUUAUCACAAGUAGAAUCCUACCUGAGUCACCCAACAACAGAGGAUGACAGUGAUCCCCUUCUCUUCUGGGAACAGAAUCAAUCAACAUUACCUCAACUAACUAUACUGGCUCUCCAAUAUCUGUGUAUCCCAGUAUCAUCAGCUCCAGUUGAGAGACUUUUCUCUAUUGCUAGGAAAGUCAUUCAUCAUGAAUGAUGCAGAAUGACUGAUGUUUGCUUUGAUGUUUAUCAAGUGUAACCAACACAUAGUAAAUUAAGACAUUACAUGAGAAAUAAUCUAGGCUAUAAGAAAUCAUAUGUAUAACAAGUUUUAUAUUUUCAAAGAGAAAUACUUUGUUUUCAUUAUUGCUGUGAAAGCCUGUGAUCAUGAUCUGAAAUAAAUUCGCAGAAGUAAUGUAUUAUGAACUGUAAAGCAAAAACAAAUAAAACCUCUUACACACAA